UGAGUUGGCUGGGCGGCCGCGGCUCGCGUAGGGCUUGUGUGGAUUCACGAGGUUCAGCGUCGAGUCGAGGAAAGUCCGGACUUCACAGAGCAGGGUGAUUGCUAACGGCAAUCCGAGGUGACUCGCGGGAAAGUGCCACAGAAAACAGACCGCCAUCCUCGUGGUGGCAAGGGUGAAACGGUGCGGUAAGAGCGCACCAGCAUUCCGGGUGACCGGGGUGGCUAGGCAAACCCCACCCGAAGCAAGGCCAAGAAGGCCGCACCGAAAGUGCGGCCGCGCAGGCGCUUGAGGGUUGCUCGCCCGAGCCUGCGGGUAGGCCGCUCGAGGCACCCGGUAACGG
rnacentral:RNase_P_RNA from 1 species